GAUGAAGAACGUAGCGAAAUGCGAUAAGUAGUGUGAAUUGCAGACUUUAGUGAAUCAUCGAAUCUUGAACGCACAUUGCGCCCCUUGGUAUUCCAUUGGGCAUGCCUGUUCGAGCGUCAUUUACACCCUCAAGCCUAGCUUGGUGUUGGGCGUUGUCCGCAAGGACUCGCCUCAAAUUCAUUGGCAGCGGCAUCGUCAGCUUCUCGCGCAGCACAUUGCGCUUCAGAAGGCUUCUGGCGGGCUCGCGUCCACUAAGAUACCACCCAGUUUGACCUCGAAUCAGGUAGGGAUACCCGCUGAACUUAAGCAUAUCAAUAAGCGGAGGA
rnacentral:misc_RNA from 1 species